ACUAAUAUUUUGAAGCGGACGCGUCAGCCUGUGGUAGCCAGUGAAGUGAGAGGAGGAGCGGAGCAGUGUGUGUGAAUAUAGGUUGGUUAAAAACCAGUCGAGCUGCUGCCUUCUGAAUGAGCUGCAAAGGACGGAUGGCAGAAGCAGGUAGACCUGCCUGGAGGGAGUUGCAGUUGUCUAGACGUGAGAUGACCAUAGCCUGGACCAGAACCUGCACCACCUUCUGAGUGAGAAGGGGGCGUAUUCUCCUGAUGUUGUACAGCAUGAAUCUACAGGAAUGUGUUGUUACCAUUAUGUUGGCAGUGAGGCAGAGUUGGCUGUCGAGUUUCACACCCAGGUUCCUAGAAGACUGAGUCGGUGUUAACAUGGAGUUGUCAAAGUUAAUAGUCAGGCUGUGGUCGGGAGAGUCUUUCCCUGGAAGGAAAAGUUGUUCAUGUUCAGAUGGUGUGCGGUCAUCGGCUGAGAGAUGUCGGUCAGACAGGCAGUGAUUCGUACUGCUACCUGUGUUUCAGAUCGGGCAAAGGAGAGGAUUAGUUGGGUGUCAUCAGCAUAGCUAUGGUAGGAAAAGCCAUGUGAGUGAUUGGCAGAGCCGAGAGAGUUGGUGUACAGAGAGAAGAGGAGAGGACCCAGGACGGAACCUUGAGGGACCCCAGUAGUGAGAGGACAAAGUUCAGACACAGAUCCUCUCCAAGUUAUCAGAUAAGUGAGGUCAUUGAGGUCGGGAGAGAGCAGGGAGAGAGCAGAGCCUGAGACACCCAGGUCCUGAAGGGAGGAAAUAAGGAUCUGGUGGUUCAAUGUGUCAAAUGCAGCAGAGUGGUCAAGAAGAAUAAGGACAGAGGAGAGAGAAGCUGCUCUAGCAGUGUGAAGCUGCUCAGAGACAGCAAGAAGGGCAGUCUCAGUUGAGUGACCUGCCUUGAAACCAGACUGGUGAGGUUCAAGAAGGCUAUUGUGGUUAAGACAGGAGGAGAGUUGAUUAAAGAUAACGCGCUCAAGAUCAUAAAGUUUCAAAAGCAUCAAAAUGAAAGACAAGCCCUCUGAACUGUGAGGGAAUAUCUUGUUUUCCACUAACGCUGGCACAGAUCUUCUGAAUUUCUCCGUCAGCAGCAGUUUGUGUGGAAAGGCAUCCAACAAACAUGAUAACACUGCGAUGGAGCUCUAAGGGUGAAGAGAUGAACGAGGCAUUCUCGUCCCACCACUAUAUUGUGGAGACAUGCGGGAAGCAGCAGGUCUGAACAGUGAAACCUUUUGGACUGAGGUGAGGAAUUUUACACUCCUUGUUCUCAUUUGGACUUGAUGAUUGCCUUAGGACUCAAUUUGGUAUCCUCUCCUGAUGGGGUGACGGUUACACAACAUUCAACCCCACCAUCUUUUCAGAUGCCCCAAAUGGCUCAUGUGCCACUGCUUGUGUAUCAGGGGCUCCUGCCUAUGGAUGUCAUUACUGAGUUGCUCUCCAGGUCACGGCCUUAAGUCACUUCUUCUUUUUCCAAUUUCAUGCACUUAAAAGCAUUGCAUUGUACUUUACAUGUGACAUGAUUCCCUGAUGUCUAACCUCUUCCAGUCCGGUUCCAAGAGGGCAGCUGCUGUUUCGCUCACCGACCAGUAUAAGCCACAAUUCUGCGUUCUGAAUUCCAGCCGUCACAUCUCACCCUCCAGAUCUAAGGACGACCAGUGAGGGAUCUUGGACCAUUUGUCAGAUCAUUUCAGGCUGUCUCUGAUUGGCAGUCCACCACGCCACCUGAUAUAACUUAUUCACCUAGCAUGAAUGCUUUCAGUUUCAAAUUUUUUCCGGCCACACGAUCAUUAUAUGUGGUUGAUGACUAUCUCCAUUCUCACAUCAUGUUGUCAAAUCCCUCAGAUACUUUUCCUCUUCUUACAGACAUACCAGAAACGCUGUGGGCGAAGGACAAAUACGAUGUGGUCCUCAUCAGAAACUGUGACCCAGUCAAAAUCACUCCUGCAGCUCCUUUGUAAUAGAAAGAAAACUGAGAUGUGCCACACUGGUGAAAAUAGACGGGUUGAAAAUUAUAUAAAUCAUUGAAUGAAUAAUCAAAAUUACUAUCUACAGCAACGAAUCGAUCUCCUGCUAAUACACCAAAGGGGCAUUUGGAGCGCAAAAAAGAAGAAUGAUUGGUCUCAGAAGGUUUACCAGUUAUUGUUAGAUGAAUAUGCAAAACCCAAUGAGGACAUCUGGUGGACACAUACGAUAAAUCCAGGAUCAGUGAGAAACCCAGUUUUGACAGAAAUCCUUAAUCUUGACUUGAAUCAACCAUCGAUGAAAUAUUCAGAGGGAAAUACAAUAAAAUAUACCUCAGGUCUAUAUUUGGCCAACUGUCCUGAUUUAACAACACUGUCUGCAGGCUUUUGUGUGGAAUUCGAUUCUGCUAACCCCAACAGAGACAGAACAAUAAAUAAUUCUGUGGAUUCAGAAUACAUCCAGGAAUUUGUCAGGGAGCAGAGAUAUUAUUAAUAUACGCUGGCAUUGAUUGCAAGUAAUGAUGGACGACAUGGAAGCUCCCCAAAAAUGAAGGGAAGGGAAAUUGUCUCGAUGCCCUCUGGUGGCUGGCAGCAGUAUUUGUCUGGCGGAACCUCCUAAAUGUUAUUGGAUAGAGUAGAGACUAGAAAGCAAAAAAAAAAAAAAUUGGUGUAAUAAAACAGAAUGUUAGUGAAGGGUAAUUGAAAUUGAUGAAAGUCCAAACGUUAAGUUUUCUGAACAAGUUUAAUAUAAUUAGUCAUUUGAUAAAAAUAAAUAAUGCAGCGAAUCAUCAUGAUUGACACCUGAGACUGACUCUCAAUUGGCCGAACACGACUCAUUGGCAGGGCCUUGAUACGAGGACUCCACCCCCCGUAUCAUUAAUCGCACUGACUCUGGCUACAGAUAACUUCAGAGGCAAAAGAUGGAAGCUUCAUUCAGCUUAAUUUCUGUGCAACAAAGAGACCAUGGAAACAUGACGUCCAUCUUUAUACACAGUCUUUGGUUUUAAAUUGCUGGCAUAUAGAAAAAAGUACUGUCAGCAAAGUCUGCACAGUCAUGGGGAACAUAGAUGGCUUUCAUGAGACCAGACACCAAAAGAGUUUCAGUAAUUCAACAAUGUGCUGCAGGGAUGUGAUGCACCAGCAGUGAAAGCUUUGAAGAUCUUUGAUAAGCUUUGUAAUAAUCUUUGUGACAUUUAACAGAUGUUAUGCUUUCAGUAUUGCAAUUUCAGACACGUACAAAAUAGUAGCUUCAUUCAGCUGAUAAAUACUUUGUGAAGAAAUGUAAGCGAUGUGACGCAAGUAGCUCUCGGCCUGUUUAAAAUGUUCAAAGUUGCUCAGAGAUGAAUAAAGGUUGGAGACCCCUAUUAUAGAAGAAGUGGAUCGAUCCUCUGCCUUCUUCUCUUGCUGCAUGUCCGUCAGGAUAAAGCUGCCUUCUUGACUUGAUAAAAGUUAAUGUAAACAAC